AGUCGAACGCUUUUUCUUUCACCGGAGCUUGCUCCACCGAAAGAAAAAGAGUGGCGAACGGGUGAGUAACACGUGGGUAACCUGCCCAUCAGAAGGGGAUAACACUUGGAAACAGGUGCUAAUACCGUAUAACACUAUUUUCCGCAUGGAAGAAAGUUGAAAGGCGCUUUUGCGUCACUGAUGGAUGGACCCGCGGUGCAUUAGCUAGUUGGUGAGGUAACGGCUCACCAAGGCAACGAUGCAUAGCCGACCUGAGAGGGUGAUCGGCCACACUGGGACUGAGACACGGCCCAGACUCCUACGGGAGGCAGCAGUAGGGAAUCUUCGGCAAUGGACGAAAGUCUGACCGAGCAACGCCGCGUGAGUGAAGAAGGUUUUCGGAUCGUAAAACUCUGUUGUUAGAGAAGAACAAGGAUGAGAGUAAAACGUUCAUCCCUUGACGGUAUCUAACCAGAAAGCCACGGCUAACUACGUGCCAGCAGCCGCGGUAAUACGUAGGUGGCAAGCGUUGUCCGGAUUUAUUGGGCGUAAAGCGAGCGCAGGCGGUUUCUUAAGUCUGAUGUGAAAGCCCCCGGCUCAACCGGGGAGGGUCAUUGGAAACUGGGAGACUUGAGUGCAGAAGAGGAGAGUGGAAUUCCAUGUGUAGCGGUGAAAUGCGUAGAUAUAUGGAGGAACACCAGUGGCGAA
rnacentral:rRNA from 1 species